rnacentral:rRNA from 1 species
GACAGAGGUGCCGAGCGUUAGGCGGAAUCACUGGGCUUAAAGCGUGUGUAGGCGGAUUCCUAAGUACCUUGUGAAAUCCCACGGCUUAACCGUGGAACUGCUUGGUAUACUGGGUGUCUUGAGCCAACUAGAGGCAGUCGGAACAAACGGGUGGAGCGGUGAAAUGCGUAGAUAUCGUUUGGAACGCCAAAGGUGAAAACAGGUUGCUGGGGUUGUGCCGACGGCUGAGACACGAAAGCCAGGGGAGCAAACGGG